rnacentral:rRNA from 1 species
GAUGAACGCUGGCGGCGUGCCUAAUACAUGCAAGUCGAGCGAACAGACGAGGAGCUUGCUCCUCUGACGUUAGCGGCGGACGGGUGAGUAACACGUGGAUAACCUACCUAUAAGACUGGGAUAACUUCGGGAAACCGGAGCUAAUACCGGAUAAUAUAUUGAACCGCAUGGUUCAAUAGUGAAAGACGGUUUUGCUGUCACUUAUAGAUGGAUCCGCGCCGCAUUAGCUAGUUGGUAUGGUAACGGCUUACCAAGGCAACGAUGCGUAGCCGACCUGAGAGAGUGAUCGGCCACACUGGAACUGAGACACGGUCCAGACUCCUACGAGAGGCAGCAGUAGGGAAUCUUCCGCAAUGGGCGAAAGCUUGACGGAGCAACGCCGCGUGAGUGAUGAAGGUCUUCGGAUCGUAAAACUCUGUUAUUAGGGAAGAACAAAUGUGUAAGUAACUAUGCACGUCUUGACGGUACCUAAUCAGAAAGCCACGGCUAACUACGUG